UUCUCCUCUGCAGAUUUAUUCAUGAACACUUUAAGGACUCAUUUUGUGUUUGCUUGUGAAAAUGAUUACCUAACUAUCAGAUGCCCAUCAGGGACGUUGAUAAGCAUACAAAACGCAAACUACGGUCGGAGAGUACCCAGUACAGACAUGUGCCCGCUGCCGUGGACGUCGUUAGGGACGCGGAGCGAAAGCCUUCGUAGUGAAAAUAUUAAUUGUAGAGCAGCUGAUUCAUUACAAAUUAUUACAGAUAGGUGUGAAGACACGCCAGAAUGUAGGAUAGAAGUAAAAACAAGUUUAUUCAGCGUGGACCCUUGUCCAACGACACAUAAAUACCUUGAUGUUUCAUAUAAAUGUAGACCACAUCAAUUCACGAAGGUGGAGACGUGUGAAGAUAAGCACAUGAAUGUAUAUUGUGAUGAAGAAAACCAAGUAGUUGCCAUCUAUAAUGCACAUUUUGGAAGAUUAUUACCAGGCAGUAUGGAGUGCCCUUCAUAUUCAAUGCAUGAAUUAGGUAAGUAUGUUCUUCAGUGGCAAUGUAGUGAUUGACUGUGGUAGCAGAAGUAGCACAUAUUGAAGUAGCAGUAGUAGUGGAGGUCGAAGAAGUAGUAGGAGAGGUGUCACAUCUGGAAACCUUGUCAGGAGGGGCAAACAUUUUCUGACAAGCCCCCCCCCCCUAAAAAAAAAAAAAAAAUGGUUGCCAUUUCCAGAAGCACCUGUCAAAGUUUUCUGACAAACCGACAAACAAAAACAUAAGGUCAUCAAAAUUCUGCCUCCUCAGCCAAAACCUGUGAGUAUAAUAAUAAAAUAAUGAUAAUGGUGGAUUCUUUUAAAGUGCACACAUCCAUCAGGCAUGACGUCAUGGCGCUGCGUACAAUCAUAAAAAUUAAUAAGGACAUAAAUACAAAUUGUGUACAUUUUAUAAUUAAGUACAAACUUUCAAACCUUUAUGAUACAGAUCUAAAAACAGGAGGAAAUUUGAGACAGAUAUGACUUAGUUUGAUUUACAGAAAAAUUUAUUUUCUAAUCAAAUAAUGAAAAUAAGAAUGACUGAUCGAUAUAAACCGGUGUGUUGGCUUAGUUGGUAUAGCGUCCGUCUCACAACCGGCAGGUCGGGAGUUCAAAACCCGGCCGCGUCAAACCAAAAAGACAUUAAAAGAUGGGAGUUGCUGCUGCCCUGUUUGGCGUUCAAGAAUUAAAGGGAUAGAGCCUCGUCAAUCUGGCCCUGCACAGUGUCUGCCGGGCCCACGAUCAAUUAAGGCAAAACAAAUUUUCUGAGUAUUUCAUUUCAUGUCUAUUUCGAACAAUAAGAUAUGGAUUUUCAUUUUUUUUUCAUAACAUUAACAUCUGUAAUUAUGAUCUAGGCCAAUUCAAUGUUAUUAAUUUAACUGACUUAAAUGAAUAGUUGCUGUAGUAGUAGUAGUUCCUGAAGUAGUAGAAGUAGUAGUAGGAGUAGGAGUAGGAGUAGUAGUAGUAGGAGUAGUAUUAGUAGUAGUAGUAGUAGUAGUAGUAGUAGUAGUAGAAGUAGUAGUUGCUGAAGAAGUAGUAGUAGCAGCAGCAGCAGUGGCAGCAGCAGCAGUAGUAGUAGUAGUAGUAGUAGUAGUAGUAGUAGAAAUAGUAGUAUUAACGUAGUAGUAGUAGCAGCAGUAGUAGUGUCAAAAGCAGCAGCAGUGAAGCUAAUAGUAGUUCGUAUAAAACCUGAUCAAUGAUGUUUUCAACUUUUCCGCAUUAAUAUAAGAUUUUAAUGGCCAGUGAAGUAAUUGAUUGCAAAGCAGUCAUCUUCCCAAUCCUCCACUGAUAAGUGAGAGGUGUAACUCAAUGUAUCCCAUGAUCAGGCAGGAGGACUCUGGGAAAUUGAGCCUACACAAAUAUUCAUCUAGCCUCGUUUGCUCCGACACACUAGACGAAAUCCUAGCGCGAUGUGAUUGUCAUUAGUUGAGAGUGACAUGUGUUGGUACACCUAGGUGGAGUGGUGUGCUGUUAGUGCGAGAGUGAUGAAUUGAUGAUGGUCACUUAAUUCGACAUUAAAGAGCACGCAGAAGUAGAUGGGUGUCUCAUCUUACCUAAUAUAAAGUUUAAAAUCACUUCAGUUUCCUUUGAUUUAUCUUUCUCUGAUUCUUGCUAUUUGUAUGAGGGUUUUGUUUUUGUUACCCUUAAAUACAUAUCAUCUUUUGGAGUAGCAAGUAAAGUGCCCUCAGUUGCAAGCCAAGUGCCCUCGAUCAUCACAUAAUUUGUGCAACAUCACCAUCCGAACCUCCCUGUUUUAUAAUU